rnacentral:rRNA from 1 species
GACGAACGCUGGCGGCGUGCUUAACACAUGCAAGUCGAACGGAAAGGCCCUGCUUUUGUGGGGUGCUCGAGUGGCGAACGGGUGAGUAACACGUGAGUAACCUGCCCUUGACUUUGGGAUAACUUCAGGAAACUGGGGCUAAUACCGGAUAGGAGCUCCUGCUGCAUGGUGGGGGUUGGAAAGUUUCGGCGGUUGGGGAUGGACUCGCGGCUUAUCAGCUUGUUGGUGGGGUAGUGGCUUACCAAGGCUUUGACGGGUAGGCGGCAUGAGAGGGUGACCGGCCACAUUGGGACUGAGGUACGGCCCAGACUGCUACGGGAGGCAGCAGUGGGGAAUAUUGCACAAUGGGCGGAAGUCUGAUGCAGCAACGCCGCGUGCGGGAUGACGGCUUUCGGGGUGUAAACCGCUUUCGCCUGUGACGAAGCGUGAGUGACGGUAAUGGGUAAAGAAGCACCGGCUAACUACGUG